AGCCCCAAUUAGAAUUUCGGUUGGUUUCACAAGGGUAUUUUGGUUCAACCUACUUUCUGAAAUAGACAAAUUGCUUAGGCUCAUGGAGGAAGUUGCUCCAAUCCACCCAAAAAUCUCACUACCGUCCACAAAGUCGUCACUAUCCAUUGGGCCUGGCAAACCAUCCACCUUCAUGUGGCCCACUUGAGAAAACUUACUACCCAACUCCCUAUUUACCCUAACAACAUCACUGCCACCCUUAUUCGAAACCCCUAAAUCAGUUUACAAUCAUUUCCUUUCCCUUAUAUUUGAAACCCUUAUAUUUCUCACCAUCAUCAGCAAUAAUUCAUUCAUCCUUAUCUAAGGAAACCAACGCAGAGAAUCUAGAUCCCCUAGAAAAUCGCCCUAGAUUUUCCUCUUCAAAUCUUUGUUUGCUUGAUAUCCUUCGUGAUUUCCUCUCAACAACCAUCUACGGCUCGUAGGCAUCUUCCCUAUUUGUCAUGGAAACCACCACCGUAGGUGUUUCAAGUGGAGGGUUUUGUUGCUCCAAUUGCGUCACGCUCCCGACCCGAGAACAAGCCUCCUUCAAAUGGCCGUAGCAUCCACAAGAGAAAUAAAUAACUGCACUUCCUUGGGCGCCGCACCAUCGAGAACCGAAACCAAGCAAGAGCAGAACCCUUUCGCCGAAAUCGCUGUCAACUCAGAGUCUACUGUUCCCUUCAGAGUGCAUUUGGGCAUCGAGUCAAACUCGGGCCGUGCAACAUAUGACCCGGUUCGAAUCAGUCGGGGAGAGGAGGGAGAAGAUAAUCGUAGUAAAGGAUGAGAGAAAAAAUUGAGUAAAGAAUGUCUGUUAGCUCAGAUGGAAGCUUUUAUAGAGAAGUUCCUCCAUAAGGGUCUAUACAUGUAUAACAAAAUUAGUCUACAUUUUCCAUCUAAAUAAAUCAAAUUUGUUUCUCAAA